rnacentral:rRNA from 1 species
GAUGAACGCUAGCUACAGGCUUAACACAUGCAAGUCGAGGGGCAGCACUAGGUAGCAAUACUGAGGUGGCGACCGGCGCAUGGGUGCGUAACGCGUAUCCAACCUUCCCGUUACUCUUGGAUAGCCUUCCGAAAGGGAGAUUAAUACAAGAUGGUAUUCAAAUUCCGCAUGUUAUUUGAAUUAAAGAUUUAUCGGUAACGGAUGGGGUUGCGUGACAUUAGAUAGUAGGCGGGGUAACGGCCCACCUAGUCUACGAUGUCUAGGGGUUCUGAGAGGAAGGUCCCCCACACUGGAACUGAGACACGGUCCAGACUCCUACGGGAGGCAGCAGUGAGGAAUAUUGGUCAAUGGUCGGAAGACUGAACCAGCCAAGUAGCGUGAAGGAUGAAGGUUCUAUGGAUUGUAAACUUCUUUUAUACGGGAAUAAAACACCUUACGUGUAGGGUCUUGUAUGUACCGUAUGAAUAAGCAUCGGCUAACUCCGUGCCAGCCGCCGCGGUAAUAC